rnacentral:rRNA from 1 species
CACGUAGGGCGCAAGCGUUGUCCGGAAUUAUUGGGCGUAAAGAGCUCGUAGGCGGCCUGUUGCGUCCGCUGUGAAAUCCCGGGGCUUAACCCCGGGCGUGCAGUGGAUACGGGCUGGCUGGAGGCAGGCAGGGGAGAACGGAAUUCCCGGUGUAGCGGUGAAAUGCGCAGAUAUCGGGAGGAACACCGGUGGCGAAGGCGGUUCUCUGGGCCUGUUCUGACGCUGAGGAGCGAAAGCGUGGGGAGCAAACAGG